rnacentral:piRNA from 1 species
AUGGUGUAUCAAUCAUGUGAAAAAGUUUGA